rnacentral:lncRNA from 1 species
UGCAAAUACACUAAAUGGGAAAAAUAAGCAAGGACACGUUCAGAAAUGACACUGAAUCCCUGUGUUGAGUCUACAGAGACAUCUAGACUUAAAAUAGAUCAUUUAUAUUUAAUGCUGAUGUGAAAACACAUGGUCAGUUGUUGCUGCGUCAGAGAUAUGAGAAAUUCUUUUCUCUUAGGUGUGCAUCACUGAUAUACUUGUCCGUGAAAGGUGAAAGACACUGAAAUGUAAGAUGCGUGAGUAAAAUCUUGGUAGAGAGGCUCUUUGUGGUUGUUUUAUAUACUUGUAAGUGAUUUAUGAGAUAGGUGUUUAGAAUAAUACUCUUCUGUUAGGGUCACCCUGAUCAGACCGUUCCCUUCCCCUCCCACAGGACUUACAAUACGGUCCCUUGUGCUCUCUGCACAGCUACCCCAGGGCAAAAAACAAACCCCCCUUCACUGAUCCCUCCAGUAACUGUGCAGACAGUUACAGGAUGCGGUUAACAUGUCUGUUCACCUCGCAUAACAAAGCUGGCAAAAAACAUCUCCAGGAUGCAGACAAGACACCUGCACCCUCGACUAAGCUCCCCCACCCCAACCCAGUUCUCCUGCACCCCCAACUCAGCUCCCGCACCCCGACCUAGUUCUGGCCCUAUAAAAACCUGCUAUAGUCUGUAAGCAGGGCUGCCUCCUCUAACUGUGGUGGAGCAGCCAAGCAGCUCAAUAAAGCUUGCUUGCCUGACUUUGGGUCUCUUCAUCCUUUCUCUUGGCUGACCUUACAUUUCUGGUGCCGAAACCCGGAAAGGUGAUAGAGUUCGGCCUCCCUUUCUCCCUUUCUCUUUCUCUCCCUCCUUCCCCUGGCUGAACUCCCCCUUCCAGAACCUGCUAGAGACCCAAGGAUCUCAUACAUACUUUCCAUUGCUGGCGAACACAUCCAACACCAGGGCCUCCUCAGGGUUGAGUAAAGGAGACUUUCGCCUUGUGUCUGGAACCCUUGUCUGCUCUUUCCUUCCUAAAAGACCCAGCACUGGGCCAAGGGUUUCCUCCUCCUGGCCUCCAGGAGGCCCUCGAUAUCUCCUAUCAAGGAUGCCUGAACUGGGGAUUAUCGCACUUCUCCGACUUGAACUGUGGGACAAGGGACGCGUUCUCCCACCAUUCUAGUCUCCGGCCAAGUCUCCCAUCUCUACCCCUCCCUUUCUCAUUCCACUAUGGGAGCC